UACGUAGGUGGCGAACGUUAUCCGGAGUGACUGGGUGUAAAGGGUCCGUAGGCGGGAGAGCAAGUCUGACGUGAAAGCGCCUGGCUCAACUAGGCGAGUGCGUUGGAAACUGCUGUUCUUGAAUCACGCAGAGGUCGGCGGAAUUCCCGGUGUAGUGGUGGAAUGCGUAGAGAUCGGGAGGAACCUCGAAAGCGAAGGCAGCCGACUGGGGGAUGAUUGACGCUGAGGGACGAAAGCGUGGGGAGCGAACAGG
rnacentral:rRNA from 1 species